rnacentral:lncRNA from 1 species
AGCUCAGUGCCCAUGAGGAAGACUCAGUGGAAACUAACAGUGAGGAGCAGUCGUGUGUGAUGCGUGUGUGGGCGCCCUGCCUUUACUGCAGGAAGUGCCUUUCAUUUUCCUGUUGCCCUUGAAGAGCCUGUUAAUUAGAAAAGAUCUCUGGAAGAGCUUGAAAGUUUCUGGAAGAAUCUGGACCUGACCUAAAGCACAGUGUAGUUAAGCAGCUCUAGCUCCGUGUUCCGGACCCAGCAUCUGGGUGCCCUGACCUUGGACCCCACUGGAGCUCUGAAUGUGAUCCUCUCCACUCAUUAUCCACUCGUGCUCAACCUCACCUCCUCCAUAAAGGCUUCCAUGGUUUCCCCCAUCUGAACACCUAUAGCUCUUACCACCGGUGCUUCUCUUUAAUGUCGUCUUAGAAGAGACUUCCACACCAGGGGUGACCUGAAGCGUGCUGGGGAUACUCAGCAGAGGGAAGCCGACUCUUUCCAAGCCAACGAUAGUAAGAGAUACAUCGUGGAAAGUGUGCGUUGCUAACUGCAGUACCACUACCAGGGCCCAACGCAUGUUUCAAACAGCCGGUGUUGCAAAUGACCAGAGGAUGAGCCGCGGAAACCCUCCCAGCUUAAGCCCCUGUAGACUCUUCUUAAUUGGGGCAAUUUCAGGGUAAUCCCUCUUCUCUGCCUCUUCACACUGUCCCCAGUGUGAUUUAACCUAAAUUUCCUUCAAAGUUAGAGCUGCUACCACAUAUUUACAGGGUCAUCUCCCUGAAGCCUUCUGAAGAAUUAUGGAUCUAAAGUAAAAUGAGAUCCUCAGUUACUCGCCUUAUCAUCCAUCCUCAGUACACUUUUAUUGCUAAUAUUAAAACACAAUGUGUGUUGGGAAUAAAUAGCAAAAGAAAUAAAAA